AUUGAACGCUGGCGGCAGGCCUAACACAUGCAAGUCGAACGAGUGGCGGACGGGUGAGUAAUGUCUGGGAAACUGCCCGAUGGAGGGGGAUAACUACUGGAAACGGUAGCUAAUACCGCAUACCAUCGGAUGUGCCCAGAUGGGAUGAGCUAGUAGGUGGGGUAACGGCUCACCUAGGCGAUGAUCACUAGCGGGUUUGAGAGGAUGACCAUCCCCAGUGGAACUGAGACACCGUCCAUACUCCUACGGGAGGAACCAGUGGGGAAUCUUGCACAAUGGGCGCAACCCUGAUGCAGCCAUCCCGCGUGUCUGAAGCAGCCCUUCGGAUUGUAAAGUCCUUUCCGCGAGGAGGCGUUACUCGCAGCAAAAGCACCGGCUAACUCCGUGCCAGCAGCCGCGGUAAUAC
rnacentral:rRNA from 1 species